UAACCCUUAGACUCGAGAGUUUGUCUCUAAACCUCCAACCUCUCGUUGACACCAACCGUCGUCUCGUCUAUCAAAACUAUGUCAUCAGCAAAUAGCAUACAUCAUGGCACAUCCCCUUGAAUAUGGCGAGUCAGAGCAUCCAUUACCAAAAGCAAAUAGGAGAGGGCUAAGCGCAGAGCCUUGAUGGAGCCCCAUAACCACCGGGAAAUGGUCUGAGUCGCCACCCACCGUCCUAACCCUAGUCUUAGCGCCAUUGUACAUGUCCUUGAUCACUCUGAUGUAGGCUUCCGCCACACUCUUUGCCUCCAGGCUCCUCCAUAGCACCUCCCUUGGGACCUUGUCAUACGCCUUCUCCAAGUCGAUAAACACCAUGUGUAGAUCCUUCUUCUUAUCCCUGAACUAUUCCACCAAUCUCCUGACAAUGUGGAUAGCUUAUGUCGUGGAACGACCCGGCAUGAAGCCGAGAAACAACUCAACAUCUCCUUUCACCAACAAACUAACCUCAAACAGCCUCUAAAGGAACCAAAAAAAAAAUAUUUUGGCCCUCUUAGGUAUGAGAGUCCUAUAGCUGGGAGGACAAAACUAACCAUGCUUGAAUUGUACAUAAGAAAUACUGAGGUCAAUUGAUAUUUCUCUUCGAAGCUUCAAGUUUCAGAUUGUAUUUUCAAAUCUAGAUAAUGUGUUUUCAGGAAUUGACAGUGUAAAUUUAACAGGCUAGUAGCAGCUAUGGAAAGGUUGCAAACUGUUGCAAGGAGAUUGGAAUUCUAAUGUUUGUGGAGAUGACCCUGGGAUGAGGGGGAUAAUAAACCAGCAAUAUUAAGGCCACAUUACUUCAGGCAGGAUAAGUUAAGAACAUAAUAACCCAGGCAGUAAAGCCAGGUAAGAUAAAUGUACCAAACAUUUAGAGUGCUUACACUAAUUUGCUAAUUACACUGGGCAGAUAAAACUAUCUGGUUCCUACUUAGCAAUACUAUAAUACGAUCCUUAAUCUAUUCAAACAGUCGGGGGUCUAUUUGGAAACAGCCUCUCUAUCCAAGGGUAGGGGUAAGGUCUGCGUACACACNNNNNNNNNNNNNNNNNNNNNNNNNNNNNNNNNNNNNNNNNNNNNNNNNNNNNNNNNNNNNNNNNNNNNNNNNNNNNNNNNNNNNNNNNNNNNNNNNNNNNNNNNUCCAAGGGUAGGGGCAAGGUCUGCGUACACACUACCCUACCCAUACCCCACUAAGUGGGAUUAUACUGGGUUGUUGUUGUAAUUUUAGACAAGAGGGGUUGCUCUGAUCGUAACCAACCUCCACUUCCAACCGAGAGGUUGUGAGUUCGAGUCUCCCCAAAACCAAGGUGGGAAGUUCUUGGAAGGAAGGAUGCCGGGGGCCUAUUUUGGAAACAGCCUCUCUACCCAAGGGUAGGGGUAAGGUCUGCGUACAUACUACCCUCCCCAGACUCCACUAACUGGGAUUAUACUGGGUUGUUGUUGUUGUUGUAAUCUAUUCAAAUAAGGUUGAAUUAGUCCAAAACAAACAAAGAAAAAUCCAAGGAACAUUCAACGGAAAACACAGAAUUAAGGGAAGAAGAGUCCAAGGUGAGACGGGGAGAGAAAGGGGAAAAUGCCAAAAAUCCCCUCAUCCGCCGGGGCUCAGAAAAGAAUUAGACUAAGCACUUAAGACCAUCAAACAUUUGCCCAAAGUUUAUCCCACCAAAUAUAACCCCAUAUAUCCCAGACAAAUGACCCUUUGUCUGGUGUUCAACAGAGUGGCUGAUGAUUACAGAAGGGUACCAAUGGUUGUUUACGAACAUGAUAGCAAUGUGAGAAGGAAAGACAGCAGCAGCAUUUCCUAAGGUCCUUUCUUAAUUUUCACAGUCAAUGUCUACCUUUUAAUUUUCCGUUUAUGAGGCAUUUAUUUUUUACAAAUAUGUCCCAAUAGGUUAUCUCGCAUGAAUUGUGCACCACCUUAAUGAUAGAAGCAAGUGCAGUUUUUCAUUUAUAAAAAAGAAGAAAAAAAAAGAUAGAUGCAAGUGCAGAUUUAUAAUCAAUACUGAUCAAAAACUCGUCCAAGAUAACCUCAAGUAGUACUAGUGCUAACGAGAAAUCAGACCCUUAUGAAAAAUAAAGCUCAUACCUGC
rnacentral:lncRNA from 1 species